AGUGGGGAAUAUUGGACAAUGGGGGAAACCCUGAUCCAGCCAUGCCGCGUGAGUGAAGAAGGCCUUAGGGUUGUAAAGCUCUUUCAGUCGUGAAGAUGGUGACUGUAGCGACAGAAGAAGCCCCGGCUAACUCCGUGCCAGCAGCCGCGGUAAUACGGAGGGGGCUAGCGUUGUUCGGAUUUACUGGGCGUAAAGCGCACGUAGGCGGAUCGAUCAGUCAGGGGUGAAAGGCCUGGGCUCAACCCGGGAACUGCCUUUGAUACUGUCGAUCUUGAAUCCGGGAGAGGUAAGCGGAAUUCCAAGUGUAGAGGUGAAAUUCGUAGAUAUUUGGAAGAACACCAGUGGCGAAGGCGGCUUACUGGACCGGUAUUGACGCUGAUGUGCGAAAGCGUGGGGAGCGAACAGGAUUAGAUACCCUGGUAGUCCACGCCGUAAACGAUGAGUGCUAGUUGUCGGGUGUUUGGCAUUCGGUGACGCAGCUAACGCGUUAAGCACUCCGCCUGGGGAGUACGGCCGCAAGGUUA
rnacentral:rRNA from 1 species